AGAGUUUGAUCCUGGCUCAGNUUNAANGCUGNNNGCAUGCCUNACACAUGCAAGUCGAACGGUAACAGGUCUUCGGAUGCUGACGAGUGGCGAACGGGUGAGUAAUACAUCGGAACGUGCCCGAUCGUGGGGGAUAACGCAGCGAAAGCUGUGCUAAUACCGCAUACGAUCUACGGAUGAAAGCGGGGGAUCGCAAGACCUCGCGCGGACGGAGCGGCCGAUGGCAGAUUAGGUAGUUGGUGGGAUAAAAGCUUACCAAGCCGACGAUCUGUAGCUGGUCUGAGAGGACGACCAGCCACACUGGGACUGAGACACGGCCCAGACUCCUACGGGAGGCAGCAGUGGGGAAUUUUGGACAAUGGGCGCAAGCCUGAUCCAGCAAUGCCGCGUGCAGGAAGAAGGCCUUCGGGUUGUAAACUGCUUUUGUACGGAACGAAACGGUCCUGGUUAAUACCUGGGNNNANUGACGGUACCGUAAGAAUAAGCACCGGCUANNUNNNNNNNNGCCGCCGCGGUAAUUC
rnacentral:rRNA from 1 species